rnacentral:lncRNA from 1 species
AAUCUCCUGCUGCGGGUGGCAGACAUGGGAGAGACAGGCAAGCUGCAAAGGGAAGUCGACGAAAUAAAAUUAAAGCCCUACAAUCGUGUUCGUGUCAAUGUAGAUGGGGUGCCCCCCUCGGUUUGCUCACAGAGGUGGGUGUGAGAUCCUACAGGACGGUCUGGAAGACAUCCCAUGGAAGGCACUUUAUUUUGCCCAGAAGCUGGAGGAAAAGCAGAAGAUACAUUAGUUUGCCAAGUAUGCUGCUGGAUGUUCAUUCAGCACUAGUGUUUAACAAAAGCCCGGUUUUAAAAUCAGAGGAUAUGAGUUGGGGGGGCCUUGAGGGCGCUGAACACUGACUAAGAGGAGAGAGCGCACAUUACAUGGAGACCAUGGUCCCCAUACCAGAAACAUGAGAGUAGAGAGAAGCAAAGCCAGCAUCGUGGAGCCAGUCCCUUUAUCCAGGAUCUUGGAGGGAUACAGUCUUCUGUAGAAAUUAAAUAAAGACUGAAUUCUUCAAUGGGUAUUUUGAGAAGAGAGCCACUGUAAGCUUAUACACUGUGAAUUGCAAAAUGUUACUGCCUCUGGGUGGACAGGUUUUAAAAAGACUUUUUUUUUUCCUCCUGGCAUGGCUGACAGAGGGAAGGCUGGGUUUCAAUCCCAUCUUUCCCUUCCCUUGCCCAGUGCUUCUUUAUGUGCACAACCUGCACAACUAUAUGUGGUUUGCAAACACGCAUAAGCAAAGACUAACAGCUUCUGAAACAAACUCUGAAUAAAAGAGGGAGCAUAUUAAGGCAGAUGGCAGAGGAGGUGAGCAGCAUGGGCAGAUAGAAGCAUCACAGAGACUACAAGAAGAAUGUGCCAGACCGGCUCAUAGUGGCCACACUGAUUAAGAAUUACCAUCAGCUCUUUAGGAUUUGGAAACUUGGAAACACAUUGUGUGUUCUUCCUGGUUUGUUAUAGAGUAUGUGUAUGUACUUCUUUCUCUUAAAAAUAUUUAUUUUUAAAGAAUUGACUUAUAAAAUUAUAUGUAUUUGUCAUGUAUAACACAAUAUUUUGAAGUACAGUCCUGUGUCAUAAGGAUAUGUUCUGAGAAAUCCAUCAAUUUUGUCAUUGUAUAAACAUGAUAGAGUGUAUUUACACAAACCUAGGUGGUAUAAACUACUACACACCUAGGCUACAUAAUGUAGCCUAUUGCUCCUAGGCUAUAAACCUGUAUAACAUGCUACUGUACUAAAUACUAUAGACAAUAGUCACAUACUGGUGAGUAUUUGCGUAUCAAAACAUAUCUAAAUAUAGAAAAGAUGCAGUAAAAAUAUGGUAUUACAAUCUUAUGAGACCACUAUAGUAUAUGAGGUCCAUCAUUGAUUAAAACAUAGUUAUAUGGUGCAUGACUGUAUAUAUGCAUUGUGGAAUGGUUAAAUCUAGCUAACUAACAAAUGUGUUAUAUCACAUAGUUAUUAUUUUUGAGGUGAGAAUACAAUAUUCACUCUCUUAGCAUUUUUUAAGAAUACAGUAUAUUAACUAUAGUCACCAUGCUGAAUGGUAGAUCUCUGGAACUAAUUUCUCCUAUCUAAGUGUGAUUAUGUACCCUUUGACCAACAUCUUUCUAACCCCACCCCACAAACACCCCAUAAUAAAGCCUCUUGUAACCACCA